UCGACCAAAACAACCGAGCUCUCGCUUCUCUCUCUCAAAAUCACUUUCGAUCUCACCAACCCUCAGUCCUCAGUACUCUCAACCAUCUCUCUCUCUCUCUCUCUCUCUCUCUCUCUCUCUCUCUCUCACCCAGUGACCAGUGACCGCCAAUCGACCACCAUAGUGACGGCCUCCGUUCGAUUCUCUUCCUCCUCCCCCUCGGAACAUAAAAGAUUAAAUCCUUCGAUUUCCUCCACCUCGAGAACGAUCAAACAGCUUCAUCUUCACCACCAUUCCUCUCUCUUCUCUUUGAAUUUUGCAAUUUUUGAUUGCAUAUUUCUUUCAUUUUCGAUUAAUCGCAGAUUUUCAUCAUCUAUUUUUGUUUUCUCUGUGCCUCCUUCUCUUAUUACUGUGUGAAUUUGUGGGUUCAGGUACUAUGGAUUCAUCAAGAAAAGUCAAGUCCCGGUACCCAAUUCAAGAUCCGCUCUUUCCAAGACAGCAUAGUCGAGAAAAUUGCAAUCUGCAAGAAGGGAUGGAGGGAUUUCCUUUUGCUAAAACCAUGAAGAAUGUUUCAAGAGGCAUGGCUGUUCUUACAGUUCCGUUUACCAUGGGCUUUCCAAAGAUAGAAAAUGGGAGGUCUCUAAGAUUGUAUUUCUCACUGUGAACUAUUGCGGUGCUUAGGAAGCUGAUAGGAAAGAUUCCCAAAGUUGUUGAGAAUUCUGAGAGUGCUUGGACCACACCAUCAGUAGUUGCCUUCAAUCAAAAAGGAGAGCUACUAGUUGGUACUCCAGCAAAACGUCAAGCAGUUACCAACCCAUCGAAGAGUCAGUUUUUCUUGGUGCUUACUUUGGACCUAUCAUUGCUUGGAAAGGAUAGUACGGAUGAAUUCUCAAUUGUGCCUCUCUCUUUUUUUUCUUGAAGAUAAUAUGUUAUGAAAUAAGAGUAUAAUUGUGCUUGAUUCGUGAUUUUUUGAUGGUGGUAGAAUGCAGCUACGAUGAUUUGACUCUUAGAAUGGAAAAGAAGUAAGGUAAAUGUGCCACAGUGGCUCCAUGUAGCGUAUCGUUUCUAAAGCAUCACUACUUUAGGCCAACGGUUCUAAAGCAUUGAAGCUUGAAAAUAGAAUGGCAUCGGAAUUGUCAAGCUUAUGGGAUAUUAAUUUGUGAUUUUGCUUACAACUAUCUUAGUGGUACAAUACCAAAGGAAUGAGCUUCAAGCUUGCAAUGAUUUUGCUUACAACUAUCUUGGGAGAUCGAGCAAAUUGUAUUCUUUUUUAUUAUCAUGUAAAGCUCAUAAAACUUGAAAGCUUGUUAAGCAAAUGAAAUAGAUAUAGACACUUGGGCAAGGUUAAUUCCUGUGUAAAUGUUGGGAUGAAUACUGCUGAUGGAAUGAAAUGGUUUUUGGAAUCAAGGAUGUGUUGUUCAAUUGU